GGGGAAUGCGAGGAGGUCUAGCUUUGGGGUCGGGGGUCGGGCGCCCCGGGGUGCUGGAACCUGGCAUCCAGACAUCAACAAGAUGGUUGUUUUGAGACAUUCGUUGCCAUCUUCUUGGUCCGCUGGCUCUCCCAAUAAAGUCGUAUUCCCCGCCUCAUGGGGUAGCACUUUGACAAGAGAACUCAAUGGCCUUUGAAAAGAUAUAGAUUCUUUCUCUUUAGGAACUGAUAGACUAAUUAAGGAGAAGGGAUUGAACCCGGGUCUCCUGCAUUGGGAGCAUGGACUCUUAGCCUCUGGACCACCACGGAAGUCCCCUAGGCAGAAUUUGUUGGAUUAAAGGAUGUUAAGGUGUGAGUGACGACUGAGGAUGCGGAUGAAGAAGUCAGAAGAGCUCUAGUUUUUAAAGACUUGGCAGGCCAGGAUAUUCAUUGGGACUCUGCCCGAAUUUGAGGACUGGUUAUAACCAGUGGUGGACCCAGUGCCUGUUAAAACUAUGCACCUCCACAUUUCGAGAGAAAGGAUUAUGAUGAAUGAGAAGCAGAAGGCCUUCAUUACCAUGGUAAGAGCAAAAUAAAUCUACAUGAGUGAAGAAUCAUUUGGUGAAUAGGUUGUAGAUGCAAGGAAGCCCUGAUUCACUGAAUUUCAGGUAGGAAUGAACCCCUCACCCACUUUUGAACCAAUAGCCCCAGGUGAGGCAAACACCUAGUCUGGGAGAUAGAAGAGCAGACCCACAAUAGACGAAGACGAUGUGGGCAGGAGGCAGCCAAGCUUUUUAAAUGAUUGAACAAAAGAAAACAAAUAUAAACCCACAGACCCAGAACUGAGCAAGUCAUAAGCAAAAUAAAUAUAAAAAAGUCACACCCAGUCACUUUGUAAUCAAAAUGCUGACAACAAAUUAAAGGAAAAAAAAAUCUCAAAAAGAGCCAGAAGAAAAAAGACACAUGAUACACAUACACAAUUAAGCUGUACAUUUCAUCAGAAAUAAUGAAGGCCAAAAGAUAAAGGAACGAGAUCUUUUAAGUGUUGA